rnacentral:rRNA from 1 species
GAUGAACGCUGGCGGCGUGCCUAAUACAUGCAAGUCGAGCGAACAGACGAGGAGCUUGCUCCUCUGACGUUAGCGGCGGACGGGUGAGUAACACGUGGAUAACCUACCUAUAAGACUGGGAUAACUUCGGGAAACCGGAGCUAAUACCGGAUAAUAUAUUGAACCGCAUGGUUCAAUAGUGAAAGACGGUUUUGCUGUCACUUAUAGAUGGAUCCGCGCCGCAUUAGCUAGUUGGUAAGGUAACGGCUUACCAAGGCAACGAUGCGUAGCCGACCUGAGAGGGUGAUCGGCCACACUGGAACUGAGACACGGUCCAGACUCCUACGGGAGGCAGCAGUAGGGAAUCUUCCGCAAAGGGCGAAAGCCUGACGGAGCAACGCCGCGUGAGUGAUGAAGGUCUUCGGAUCGUAAAACUCUGUUAUUAGGGAAGAACAAAUGUGUAAGUAACUAUGCACGUCUUGACGGUACCUAAUCAGAAAGCCACGUCUAACUACGUG